ACACUUCAAUCCACCUUAUACAGAAAACCGACCGCUACAAACUCCCUGCUCCAUUGGAAUAGCUAUCAUCCAAGGCCUCUUAAGGCGGGGAUUCCGGUUGGCCAAUAUCUUCGCCUUCGGAGAAACUGUAGUGAUUUAGCAGAUUUCAAAAUAAAGGCAAACCAACUUCGUUUAUAUUUUAAGGAGAAAGGCUACCCUAAUCGCUGUCUUAAAAAAGCUUACAAGAGAGCACUUGAAACUGACAGAAAAGAACUUCUUAGUGACCAUCCCGAGAACAAAAUCUCGAAAAAUACAGGCGACAUCCGGAUGAUCGCCACAUAUGAUACGGGAUGGUCUGAAGUAAGAAAGUGCUUGAAUAGAUUCUGGCCGAUCCUUUUGAAUGAUGCACAUUUGAAAGAGGUCUUAGGCCCAUGUAUUAAUAUUACGGCCAGAAGGGGUCGUAAUGUUCGUGACCUAUUAGUACCAAGCCAUCUAUCGAUAAAACCACAGCCACGGGACACAUGGUUGGGUAAUCCUCCAUGUGGUUCCUAUGGCUGUGGUAGAUGUGUAGCUUAUAAAUACAUCGCUAAAGAAUCCAAAUCAGUGAAUGAUAGUACUGGUCAAGUCUCUAUCAAGAUAAAAAACUUUUUUAAUUGCAACACGAAGG